rnacentral:lncRNA from 1 species
CACAAACAUUUGUCUUAAGCCUUCUUCCCUUCUUCCCUAAGCGCCCACAGUUGUUUUAUUUGGCCCCACCAUUUUGUCCUGGAUUCUGAGUGUACUGUGAUAUCCCAGCAGAUGACAGGGCUGCAGUCUUAAAAACAGAGGUUCCCUGGUUAGCAAAGGACACAGAGCAAGACCAGGAAUGCCCAACAUGGCAGGUGGCCACGGGAGACAUUGCCAACCACUCACUCAUGGCGCCCAGUCCCUCUGAGCUCAGACAGAACUCCAUUAGCUUUGCCAAAGGAUCAUCUUUACUCAAAACACCCAGAGAUUCGGAACCUCCAGUGUGUGUUGGGUUGACACCCAGGGACUUAUACUAACAGGACCCAAGGUGUACUUACGCUAACAGAGCCUUGUCAUGAAGGGUUAUAGGGUGACUGGCAAAGGAGAGGAGAGGGUGACAGAAAGGGACUCAUUGAGAACAGAUGAGAACUGUGCAGCUCCUCCUGUUCUCUGGAGGAUGUUCAUUCAUUUCACUACCUGUGUACCUACUGUUCAUAGGCGCUGGGGACUGAGCAUGAGCUGUAUCGUAAUCAAGACAGGUGAGGUUCCGACGCUUAUGGGCAGAGGCAACCAUAAACCAAUGACUAAAAAACCAUUUUAAAUCUGAUCAAAAUCGCAUAAUGACAAAAAAGAACUACAGCAACAGGUCUGAGUAAAUCCCAUCCGGCAGCUCUGGCGUUUGUAGAAAACCAGAGUGGGAAUUUUUUUUUUUUUUUUUUUAAGACAGAGUCUCGCUCUGUCGCCCAGGCUGGAGUGCAGUGGCGCGAUCUUGGCUCACUGCAAGCUCCGCCUCCCGGGUUCACGCCAUUCUCCUGCCUCAGCCUCCCGAGUAGCUGGGACUACAGGGAAGGCAUCGAGCUUGAGGAAGAGGCCCCAUUCAUCUCCGUACCCCAGGCCCUGGUACACAGCAGGCAGCUCCAGGCGGGCACGCAUCUUUGUUGUGUUCUCUGCUGACUAUAUCCUCAGCACCUAGAACUGUGUCUGUCACCUAAUAGAUGCUCAAUAAACCUGCCAGUAAUUUCAGCAAAUGAAACGUGGAACACGUCAAGGCCAGAGGAUGGAAAAGGCUCCAGUUUUGAUAAAAGGAGGCCUGCUUGGCUUGGAAUCCUCUCUCCUGCUGGUUGGGAGAUGCAAAGAUGUUUCCAGAGAGGGGCUGAUGAAUUGAGGGGAAAGAAAUGAGCCCAGUAUGAGUCCCCUUUCAGGGCUGAGCGUGUAUAAAACCAAACAACUUGGAACCGCUCCAAGAGAGGGGAUUAAAGCAACAUGUUAUUCUGA